AUUGAACGCUGGCGGCAGGCCUAACACAUGCAAGUCGAGCGGAUGAAGGGAGCUUGCUCCUGGAUUCAGCGGCGGACGGGUGAGUAAUGCCUAGGAAUCUGCCUGGUAGUGGGGGAUAACGUCCGGAAACGGGCGCUAAUACCGCAUACGUCCUGAGGGAGAAAGGGGGGGAUCUUCGGACCUCACGCUAUCAGAUGAGCCUAGGUCGGAUUAGCUAGUUGGUGGGGUAAAGGCCUACCAAGGCGACGAUCCGUAACUGGUCUGAGAGGAUGAUCAGUCACACUGGAACUGAGACGCGGUCCAGACUCCUACGGGAGGCAGCAGUGGGGAAUAUUGGACAAUGGGCGAAAGCCUGAUCCAGCCAUGCCGCGUGUGUGAAGAAGGUCUUCGGAUUGUAAAGCACUUUAAGUUGGGAGGAAGGGCAGUAAGUUAAUACCUUGCUGUUUUGACGUUACCAACAGAAUAAGCACCGGCUAACUUCGUG
rnacentral:rRNA from 1 species